UACGUAGGGUGCGAGCGUUAAUCGGAAUUACUGGGCGUAAAGCGUGCGCAGGCGGUUCGUUAAGUUCGUUGUGAAAGCCCCGGGCUCAACCUGGGAACUGCAAUGGAAACUGGCGGGCUUGAGUGUGGCAGAGGGGGGUGGAAUUCCGCGUGUAGCAGUGGAAUGCGUAGAGAUGCGGAGGAACACCGAUGGCGAAGGCAGCCCCCUGGGCCAACACUGACGCUCAGGCACGAAAGCGUGGGGAGCAAACAGG
rnacentral:rRNA from 1 species